ACGGGUGAGUAAAACCAAGGAAUCUGCCUGAUAGUGGGGGAUAACGUUCGGAAACGGACGCUAAUACCGCAUACGUCCUACGGGAGAAAGCAGGGGACCUUCGGGCCUUGCGCUAUCAGAUGAGCCUAGGUCGGAUUAGCUAGUUGGUGAGGUAAUGGCUCACCAAGGCUACGAUCCGUAACUGGUCUGAGAGGAUGAUCAGUCACACUGGAACUGAGACACGGUCCAGACUCCUACGGGAGGCAGCAGUGGGGAAUAUUGGACAAUGGGCGAAAGCCUGAUCCAGCCAUGCCGCGUGUGUGAAGAAGGUCUUCGGAUUGUAAAGCACUUUAAGUUGGGAGGAAGGGCAGUAAAUUAAUACUUUGCUGCUUUGACGUUACCGACAGAAUAAGCACCGGCUAACUCUGUGCCAGCAGCCGCGGUAAUACAGAGGGUGCAAGCGUUAAUCGGAAUUACUGGGCGUAAAGCGCGCGUACGUGGUUUGUUAAGUUGAAUGUGAAAUCCCCGGGCUCAACCUGGGAACUGCAUCCAAAACUGGCAAGCUAGAGUAUGGUAGAGGGUAGUGGAAUUUCCUGUGUA
rnacentral:rRNA from 1 species